ACUACGUGCCAGCAGCCGCGGUAAUACGUAGGUGGCAAGCGUUAUCCGGAUUUAUUGGGCGUAAAGCGAGCGCAGGCGGUUUUUUAAGUCUGAUGUGAAAGCCCUCGGCUUAACCGAGGAAGUGCAUCGGAAACUGGAAAACUUGAGUGCAGAAGAGGACAGUGGAACUCCAUGUGUAGCGGUGAAAUGCGUAGAUAUAUGGAAGAACACCAGUGGCGAAGGCGGCUGUCUGGUCUGUAACUGACGCUGAGGCUCGAAAGCAUGGGUAGCGAACAGGAUUAGAUACCCUGGUAGUCCAUGCCGUAAACGAUGAAUGCUAGGUGUUGGAGGGUUUCCGCCCUUCAGUGCCGCAGCUAACGCAUUAAGCAUUCCGCCUGGGGAGUACGACCGCAAGGUUGAAACUCAAAGGAAUUGACGGGGGCCCGCACAAGCGGUGGAGCAUGUGGUUUAAUUCGAAGCAACGCGAAGAACCUUACCAGGUCUUGACAUCUUUUGAUCACCUGAGAGAUCAGGUUUCCCCUUCGGGGGCAAAAUGACAGGUGGUGCAUGGUUGUCGUCAGCUCGUGUCGUGAGAUGUUGGGUUAAGUCCCGCAACGAGCGCAACCCUUAUGACUAGUUGCCAGCAUUUAGUUGGGCACUCUAGUAAGACUGCCGGUGACAAACCGGAGGAAGGUGGGGAUGACGUCAAAUCAUCAUGCCCCUUAUGACCUGGGCUACACACGUGCUACAAUGGAUGGUACAACGAGUUGCGAGACCGCGAGGUCAAGCUAAUCUCUUAAAGCCAUUCUCAGUUCGGACUGUAGGCUGCAACUCGCCUACACGAAGUCGGAAUCGCUAGUAAUCGCGGAUCAGCACGCCGCGGUGAAUACGUUCCCGGGCCUUGUACACACCGCCCGUCACACCAUGAGAGUUUGUAACACCCGAAGCCGGUGGCGUAACC
rnacentral:rRNA from 2 species